UGUCCAGCAACUCAUAUCCCUACCUCCUCGCAGUACCGGCCGGAAACUAUGAGCAACCUUAGGGAAGAUCGCGUAACCAACCCCGGUGGAAACUUUGGUCGUAGGCUGACAGGGAAGG
rnacentral:ribozyme from 1 species